UUACUUACCUGGAUGGGGUCAAUGGGUGAUCAUGAAGGCCCAUGGCCUAGGCAAGUGACCUCCAUUGCACUUUGGAGGGGCGCUACCCUAAGGUCUACUCAAGUGGUGGAUCCUACAUCAUAAUUUGUUGCAGUGGGGGCCUGCGUUCGCGCGGCCCCUUC
rnacentral:snRNA from 1 species